ACAGCAACGCCAGGCACAACCCAGCACGGGUCGCCAACCCUGCGGAGCCGGCUGCGGAGGGCGGCGGACAGGGGGCGGCGGGCAGUCAGCGAGCGAGCAGCGUGGGGGCGGCCCCUGGCGAGCUGUCCAUGGUGCUGACAGCGGCUCCGCAGCCCUCGCGGUCCCAAACAACCGGUACCCGCAGCGCCGGGGCUGCUUGAAAUGCAAGAAAUACACACACAGUCACCAAAUGGAAAUGAAGGUCUGACAUUGAGGAUUGCAGUAUAAUAGGAGAAGAAAGGGGAUGUAACACGAAAGAAUACUGCAAUAUUUUCAGUGAGGCAGUAGAUUUGACCAUCCGGUACUUGGUCUGAAUGCAAUAAUUAUGCAUGCACGGUUGUGUGUUCAUUUUAUGCAGACAUGUACAUACAAAAACAUGCAAAAUGAAAGCACCAUUCACCAGCACUCCUUAAUUCUUUUGUAAAGUGCCUAUUAUUUCCUUCUUCCCAAUCAAAUAAAAGAAGACUGUUUUAUUCUCACUUUGGGGAAACUUUUUGCUUCUAUCCCUCUUUACAAGCAAUUUUUUUUUUUAAGAUAAAUUUGAUCCUGAUGCUUGGUGUCUUCAUCUCCUACAUAUUGUGUUUGUUUUCCCUGCUUUUUUAAUCCUCUUCCUCCUCCCUCCCCACUCCUGUCCUUGCUAUGUUUUAGCAUGGAACACACACACAUGUAUUUGACAAUAAAUGAUCUUACCUUGGGUAGACAGUCCUUGCUGAACAUACAUAACUGAAAAAAAAAUGAAUCCAACAUAAGCUAGAAAGAUCCCCAUCAUUCCAAAAUGAAGAAGAAGUCACAUCAGGGUAAUGAAAGCCAAAAGUGCCCUCAAAAAAGGAAGAAUUUCUAUAUGAGUGUAUUUAUGUAUCUCUAAAUGUAUGAACAGAAAGAGAUUUAAAAAAUGUUACAAAUAGGCUCUGUAUUGUAGCCCUAGCUGUGACACUGGCAGCAUUCUGCUACUCAGUGGAGUCUUUUUCUUUGGGAAGAGAGAGUGUUGCGUUACAGUGAGGUUUAGAUGAGCUGUCUCAGGCACUGUGUUGCUUGAAGUCCAGAUUCAGACUAUUAAAAAAAAAAAAAAAAAAAAAAAAAAAAAAAAGAACACAUUGAAAAGUGGGUAUCAGCUGCCUCCCGUGCCUCUUUUCAGCUACCUGGCGGCUUCAUCCAACGUCAGCUCCUGCUGCUCAGGGUGGCGUGAUGACUACCCUCCCUACACACUGAUCCAGCUUGAAAAGAGGGGAAAGAAGGGGGGGGAGGAGGGGGAGAGGAAGUCUACUGUGCUUGUAUUGCUUCAACUUUUCCCUCUAAUGGCUGCGAUGAUGCUUUUAACCCUUCCCUCUCUCUCUGCUCUGUACACCUCUCUACCUGUUCUGAUUUCUACUGGCUGAAGUGCUGGUGUAAUGCUGGUUUUUUUUUUUUUUUUUUUUUUUUUAAUCACAGUCUACAGCUUCUGAUUGUAGAAAGAGCAGGGAGCCUCUAUUGUACUGAUAUAAUCUUCAGUCUUUUAUUCCAAAACACUCAGUGGCUAAGAGGGCAAUGCAGUGGUUUGAUUUUUGAAUCCUGUUUGAUCAGUCAACAGUCAAGAAAAGGAGAAGGAAGCAAUCUUAUUUCUGUUUGUACCUGAUUCUUCCCCUGAGUUCAUUUUCUAAGAGACUACAUAACCUUUUCAGAAUAAAGAACUGUUUUUCUCUUUAGAGCUCAGAAUCAGAUUUUUUUCAUUCAUGAAACGAGUGAAUACACACUUAAGCUAGCUGAGGCACUCUUAUAAAUCCCAGCUGUUUUUCAACAUAACAGUCUCCACAGCUCCAUCUUUUCAUUACAACUCCACAGGUAAGAAGUAAUUCAUACUUGAGCUAUUGGCAAUAAUCAUGUGGUCUCAUUUGCUGAAUAGCAUGGAUGAAUUGAGCUAAUACUGAGCAAUCUGCAUAAAGAGAAGCUCAGCAAUUGAAGAAGAAAAUUGAAAUUAUUACUACGUGUAAUAGUUCAUUGCAACUUAUUCAAUAUUUAUGCAUUUGUCAAAUCCAUUCCUGAAAUCUGCAGAUAGAUGCUCAAGAUCCUUGCUAUUCUAGACGUCAGUAAUCUAAGUGACCUGAGUAGCCAAAUAAUGUCCUGUUGCUAAGACUCCUGUCCCUCCUGCUACCACAACUAUGGUUAGUCACUAAUGGGUGGAUAAGAGAAGAUCAGGGGUACGCUGGUCCACAGAACCAAAGCAUGUCAGAAACACUUUGAUGAAACACAUUUAGGCAUUCCUGAAACUUUAUGUUGUAUAGUUACAACAACAAUUUCUCCAAUGACCAGGUAGUUAUACAUACUGCAUUUAAUUUCUUAUAUAUAUACAUACUUUUAAUAUACAUAAUAGUAAUAAACAGCUAUGCUGUGCCAAAUGAAAUGUUGCUACUCUGCUCUGUGCUGGAGAACUCUACUCAUCUGGAGAACUGUGUCCGGAUGUGGAGUUAUCAGUACCGUAGAGACAUAGCCCUGUUGGAUUGUAUCCAGAGGAGGGUCACAGAAAUGAUCGAAGGGAUGUAACACCUCCCCCAUGAUGACAGGAUGAGAAAGCUGGGGCUGUUCAGUCUGGUAGCAGCCUGUCAGUUUCUGAAGGGGGACUAUGAAAAAGAAGGGAACAUACUCUUUUUCACAGUUUGUUGUGAUAGAACAAAGGGAAAUGGUUUCAAACUGAACAGGAGAUGUGCCUGAAGACUGGAGGAUAACCAGUGUCACUCCAGUCUUCAAAAAGAGCCAGAAGGAGGAUCUGGGAAACUA